ACGCGCCCCUCACCGUUGACGGCCUCCGGUCUCCGUGGACAGGCUCAGCUCCGGGCCUUCAUCCGGGAAAUGCCGAGGGAAGCCGGGGUUGGGGAAGGCGGCUUGUAAACCACUGCGGUGGCGCUAGAUGCCCACUUCGAAGUUGAGGAGCUUAAACUUGGGGGCUAAAGAUGAGAGGGAUGGUUGAUUGACUUUAUAAUGCUUUGGUGGGCCCUGAUCUUGGUCAUAUCCAUAUAAAUGGAAGCAUAACAAAGGUGGAUAAGAUUGGAGAGAGGAGAGGAGUGUGAAAAUGUGAGACAAGGAAAAACAUCUUCAGAGAAGAGGAGACACCAACUACCUUCAGUAUUUUCUUUCCUGCAACUUUGUGGCUUAGCAAAAUUAAACCCCAGAAGUGAAAGGUU